CAAAGUCAACCCCCAAGCAUCCCCAGAAGAAAAGUACACUUUGAAUAAUUACAGUCCUUUAACUUUCCUGAUUCAACCUUCAAAGGCCACGAAUUGCUUCUAACGAAGAAGCUGAAGUGAAAGAAGAAGGAACGUCAACAAAAAUGUCUGUUUGUGUUAUCUCUUUACUUUCACGGUUUAUAGGUUUGGGGGAAAGUUUUUAUUUUCGGUGGAAUAGAAGAAGGGAAGAAGAGAGACUAAAAAGCAUUUCUUAGAUUUCCAGAAGCAGUAAUGGAAAAUCCCGACCCUAGAGUCUUGCUUUCUUCCUAGAAAUAGAAUGCUCCUGAAGUUCCCAGGAGAGCCCUUGGCAGACAGAUGUCAAUCAUUCCAUCCCUUGUUUUGCUGGGUGGAGUCACUGGAGCUUAAAGAAGGGGAAGUAAACUCAAGCACACAUCCUGGUGACCUCUAGCCACGGGUCAAAUUUCACUGAUGUCAAUUAAAAAUGACCAAAGACCCGCCCCUGUGAAAACCCUGUGGGCAGCCAUUUUGUCUCAGGGAAACUGCCCAGAUCUGAUGUAAAGUAUUUCCGGACGUCUCUUCGUUGUAUAUGGCAUUUCCCUGAAAUAAGCAACUCUCUGAAAAAUAUCAUAGCGCAGAUCAAAAUGAAGUACUCUGUGGUGAAGUAGAAGUACACAGUCAACAAAGAAACUUGCCCUCAGGCUGCACAGUAAAACGUUGGAAAUCCCAGAGCAGCAACUUGGAAAUCCCACCUGCUACAUAUUUGCCUGAGUACUUUAAGGUUCUAUGGACAAUUGUCUCUCUGCGUAGAUUAACCUUAAAUAAACUUGUUGCGUUUUGAGGUGGUAUUUCUUGUUUCAUUUCUCUUGCUUUUCUCCCCUAUUUUAUAAUAAGUUUCAUUCACACUGUGAUACUUUAAGAAGAGAUAACCUUCUACUAAGGGAUGUUGCUGUGAUAACCUCCA
rnacentral:lncRNA from 10 species